ensembl:lncRNA
CGCCGCCCAGUGUCUCCUCCUCCUCCUCCGGGCCUGUCACCAUUUCCACACACAGCAGGGUCUGUGGGGGCGGAGGCUUUUUCCAGACAUGUAUUUAAGUGAGGAGAGAAAACAAGGCGAGUCGCCCAGGAUUUGCCAAGUCAGUAGGCAGGAACACAACUCGAGAGGCCAAAAAUAAGACGGCGGCGAGGGUCACCCUGCUCUUCUGAGCCGGGCGCUGGUGACGGCCCGUGCUGAGCAUUCCACAAUCACACUUCUGUCUGAGGGUGCCCCUUCAUCCCGGGGCAUCGGCCUCCUGGUCAGAAGGUGGCAGAGCCCUGACUGUGGGCAGUGAGCAAUGGUGACUCAGGAAAAUUCGAAAGGACACAGGGAACACCCCCAAAGUCAUCUGGGGACAGGCCCUGGUUCCCCCUGCCGGUCAGGGAGCCAGGAGUUCUGGUCUCCCAUUGUAAAGGAGGAAUUUCUGAAGUUCUCUCUGGAACUUUGGCAGAAUUCUGUGGGAUCUUUCAGAGGAAGCAUUACGCUUUGGGUGUUUUUCUGGAGGGGAAAUUACUAAGAUUUCUUUCACCUUUAUAGCUAUUUGUGAAUUAGCUCCUUUUCCCUUUUAGCUCCAGAUUAUAUUUGUCUCUUUAUUCUGAUGCAGCAUCUGUUACCUUGUAUGACGAACAGUACUCCCGAAAGCAAGUAAUGACAGUAAUAAUAGCUAACAUUUAUUCAGCCCUUAUGGCACACCAGGUACUGGUCUCUCUGUGUGAUUUUUGUGGUUCAUCAAAUCUGAGGCUCCAUCAGUCUUCAGAUAUGCCAUGUAUGAUGUACCACUAAAGAAUACUGCCAAUUAAUCCACGACAUGCCAUUGAUUUUAAGAUUCACUUGACGCUCAGAAAUGUUAAAACGGGAACGUUAGAAUCAAUGAAAUGCAGUAACCGAUUCUCAGUUGUCAUCCUUGCCUUACAGCCUUACCGAGGAACAGAGAAGUUGGGUAAACCUGCCUGAUGCCACAGAGCGACUAUGUGGUGGAAAUGGGAUAUGAACCCAGGUUCAGGCUUCAAAACCUGGGCUCCUAACUGCCACGCUGUAUUGUGGCUGAGAAGUGGUUUCUGUCUAUCCACCCGCGGGACAGAAGGCGGGACACAAAACACAAGAGGGAGAGCUGGACCCCACCCUCUGCUCCCUCUUCCUCAUUGCCCCCAGGGCCAGUGUUGAUGCCCCGUCUAAAAACUGCUCCUCCUCUCACUCCCAGCAGCUGGCACCCUGGUUCUGUCCUUCCUUGCCUCCCUCUUGCCCCUGCUUGGACUGCUGCAGUAGCCUCUUAGCUGUCACCCUCCUCCGAUCUUUCCCCCACACCUCCACACACACAGACACACACACUGAGACAGUCAUCUUCUUAAAAUGUGAAUCUGGUCUUGUCGCUGUUCCAAAACCUUGAAGAGAUCCAAAUCCUAACAAGCGAUUUCUCACUCGUUUAGCUGUUUCAGCACCUACUCUGUGCCCAGCUCAGAGGAUGGAAAGGUGAGCAACCCCCAGCGUGGUCCGCAGCCAUGGUCUCACGGAGAAGCGAGACUCCUCAGUGGGCAGGUAUGACUCAGUGUGAAAAUGCUUCCAGGGGUGGGAGUGAAAUGCUGGGCUGGUGGGAGGAGCACCUGCUCUGGGGGCUCAGCGACCCCUUCGUGGAGGUUGAGUGGGAGUUCACCAGGCAAAGAACAGCGAGGAUUCCCAAGCAGAGGGAACAGCAGGUACAGCGGGCCAGAGCUGACAGAGAGGUUGGAGCAGAGUAUCAGUGGGGUGUGUCCCAGGUGAGUCUAGAGGGUUAGGCUUGGAGUGGCUGGGCAAGGCUGUCUCUAACUGCCGACACCUUUCCUCUUCAGCCUCUGCUCCCUUCGCCUCCUCUCCCCACGGUGUCUCUCUGCAGUAGGUACUUGAUUCUCAGACAGGCAUCUUCCUCUUCCCCCAUCCUCCACAGGCAGUGACAUUCUCAUCAGCAAACUUGUCCUUCCAGACCCUCCCUGGUGAAAAUAACCCUGACCCUUGACUUAGCUCUCUGGCCUCUUGAGCCAGGCAAAAGCCUGGAAAACUUGUCUUGGGCUCAAAAUAGGGGGGGAAGGGGGGAUUUUGGAGAAUUUUUAACAGAAUUCAGCUGAGUAAAAGCCAAAGUUCUUACAAAGGCCUGUGAGACCCUGCACAGACUGGGUGACCUGCCCCCGCAGCCUUGACCCCCAUCUUCCACUGUCUUCUCUUUGCCAGCUCUGUUUCGGCUACCCCCGUCUCCUUGCCGGUCCUCAAACACGGCCCCCACCCUGCAUCCCUGCCCCACGUCCUUUGCACUUGCUGUUUCUAUUACACCUCUCCCCUUCCUUAUUUGUACAUCUUCAUCAGAUUUUGUUCAGAUUCACCUCUCAGAGCGGUACAUCCUAAUACACUAUUUAAAAUUGCAACUCGUAUCAUGCUCUUCCCUCCUUUUUCUCCGCAGCACUCACCAUCUUCAAGAGCUUGUAUGAUUCACUUAUUUGUUUACUGUCUGUCUUUUCCCCUGAGAGCUGAGCUCCAGGAGGGCAAGGAUUUGGAUCUGCCUGGUUCACUCGGUGUCCUCAGCACUAGCAGUAGCGCCUGGCAUACAGUAGGUUCACAGAAAACCAGACAGAACAAAAUGGGCAAAGAGGACCGUCCUCACAGAGGCCUCUCUUCGGCAGGAAGGCAGACGGUCAGAUACGCCAAGCCCACAGUUGCUAUCCCUGGCUGGGUGAUGAUCAAGAGACCAGGCAGUAACCAGGCGAUGUAGGUAAGGGUCCCAGGAGAGAUGCGCCUGGUGAGCUCGCAGAGGCAGCCCCUAACCCAUCUAGACUGGAGUUGGGGGCAGGGACAAGUUGCCCAAGAGAUCCAGCCCCUGCUGGGUCAAAGCCUGUGAGCGGGAGAUGGCUGGGUGAAGGAGGCAGAGGUCAAAUAGAGGGAAGCACAGAGGAGGAGCUGGAGGGGACAGUUGAGACCCUGGGCAGAGGGCCUUACACACGGGCCACAGAGUCUGGACUUUGUCCCCGCAGGCAGUGGGGAGCCAUGGAAAGCUUCCAGCCGGGAAACAGCCCGGCCAGAUUCCGGUGCCAUAGCUAGUGACACGUCUGUACCAAAGCAUAGGCCCUGAGGGUCUCUCAGCCCCUCCUAGGGCUGGGGGCCUUGCACGUGGUUUGUCCCUGGGUACUGCCUCUUCUUUCUGCAGCAGCAGUCCUCGGACGUGUCUGCGAAGGGGAGAGGUGCACCCCCGCCCCAGUCUCCAGAGAGAAGCCUGUGUCCACUCUAGAAAUGAAGCAAACAACAGCCACUGUUAAGGCAGGCAGCCCUAUGUGCCCAGAAGAUGCCCAUUUUCCACUCACCAGGCUGCCCAGACAGCUCAGAGGGUGAGAGGUCUUCUACAACAUAGCUCCCUGUGCCCCCCCAGCUCCCCCUACUAGAGGGUCGGUGCCUCUCUGCACAGAUGGUAACUGGAUGGCUGCAUCGUGCCGGGUGGAAACGCAUUUACAGUAUGGGACGCUGGUGCUCUGACACAAGCAGGGGUCUAGGGUAGAGAGCCCGAGGGCAGCCGGAAGGGGACCCCGGGGCGGCUGAGGGGAGGGGAGCAGCGUGAGGACUCCCCAGAGAGGAGGUGGCAGGUGGAGCUGAAGAGAAAAGCUUGGCGGCUUCCCAAUUCAGCUGGGCCACAGCUUUGUCAAUGGCCAGCUCUCUACCCGCCGGGCCCCUGGCCUGGCCCCGGGCCUGCGGUUUUCCUCAGUAGAACAGCGGGCGGCAGCUUCCGAGAAACCCCACCAAGACUUUCCUGUCAGGGCAACUCCAAGUUCCUCUUCAGGAAGGGGAAGUGGGGGAGUUUCUCCUAAGGGCUUUCAGUUUCUUUCUAAGAAGCCGGAGUGUCCCAACCCCGCAGUGCAGAGCCAGGUGUUAAGGGAAGAGACGUCCCACGGCAGGGGCUUUCCUAUCUCGGGUUCACAGGUGGACAUUCCAAAAGAGGAAAACUGGACCCGAGUUUUGCAGGCCCUUUCCCAUGCCCCUCUCCUUUCUUCCCCCUCCGGUCACACGUCCCCUGCGCCCCUCCCUGCCCCCACCAACACGUGCAGUGCAUGCACAGAAUGUGGCCUGCCCUCCCUCGGGGACCUGCCAGGUGGAAAUUUAUUUCCUCAGCCCUCCCAGCCGACGUCCUGGGAGCUCAGCUUCCUCGGGGCUCUGCUGGGCGACUCAACAUCUGACCCAGAUCAAGACCCAACAGGUGACUCCAGCUUCUUGCCGAUGCUGGGCCACGGAAGACCUCCAAACUUCUUUGAGGACACACUGUGGGAGCCCCAAGAACUGAGAGCCUGCCUUUUUUUUAAGAAGGCUUGGCUUGGUGGCAAAGCAGAAGUCCUGAUGUGAUUAUAAACAAGAGCCACCAUGGAGGCUAAGCACUUACCGUGUGCUAGCAUUUUACAUGAAUAUCCUCCUGUAACCCACCCCCCCAACCGAGGGGGCAAUCCCAUGACAAAGACACCAUUGUUACUCCUGAAGUCAAGCAACCUGCCCAUUCACCCAGCCCGCAAGCCUGUUCUUCCCAGUAGACUGCUUCUCAGAAAGGCGGGGAAGAAAGACUAUCAGGCCCUCAAAGGAGCUGGCUGGGAAGGUGUGAUCUCCAAUAUCGCCGAUCCUCAAAGCAAGCUCUGAGUGGUGAAGAGCCAGCGAUCUAGUUACCGCCGGCUUUGCAGCACGGCCACGGCUGGGGGUCUCCCCAGGACAUCCACACUCCUGUCGCCUCUUCUGUUCUCCUCUUACAGGCAUCGUGUUAGGGUUUCUGCUUUGCCAACACAUGCGUUAUGGGGACAGUGUGGGGAUUUCCCCAAACCAUGACGCUGUUCUGCUCAAAAACAUUUGCCUAGAAGUCCACAACUGUGUGACUCACGCUGUUGAGGUGUCAAGAAAACUCACAGCUGCAGGGUGGAGGGGCCGGACCCACACGGAAGGGGGCACUCGGAGGGUGAGCAGUUCGGUACAUAAAAAUACAGGACACCCAGUUACAUUUGAGUUUCAGAUCAACUACAACAUUUGGGAUACCCUGAUACUAAAAAAAAAAAAAAAAGUACUUAUCUGAAGUGAAAGUGUGUGUUAGUUGCUCAGUUGAGUCUGACUGUUUGCGACCCCAUGGAUUGUAACCCAAAUCAGGGACUGAACCAGUGUCUCUUACAUCUCCUGCAUUGGCACACGGGUUUUUUUGUUUGUUUGUUUAUUUUUUUUUUUAACACUGGCACCACCUUGG